UACGGAGGGGGCUAGCGUUGUUCGGAAUUACUGGGCGUAAAGCGCACGUAGGCGGCUUUGUAAGUUAGAGGUGAAAGCCCGGAGCUCAACUCCGGAACUGCCUUUAAGACCGCAUCGCUAGAAUUGUGGAGAGGUGAGUGGAAUUCCGAGUGUAGAGGUGAAAUUCGUAGAUAUUCGGAAGAACACCAGUGGCGAAGGCGACUCACUGGACACAUAUUGACGCUGAGGUGUGAAAGCGUGGGGAGCAAACAGG
rnacentral:rRNA from 1 species